AAAUUGAAACUCGAAAGCCCGCAAAUUAACGGGGUGUCUCUCUCCUGAUGAAGAGGUAUUGCACUCUCAGUCUCGCCAUGUUGAAGUCAGAAUGGCCUGUAUUCACUAUCUUCGAGAGAACAGAGAGAAAUUUGAAGCGUUUAUAGAAGGAUCAUUUGAAGAAUAUUUAAAGCGUUUGGAAAAUCCACAGGAAUGGGAAAGAUUUUAUAAUUUAUCGGGAACCAAAUGUUUCUCCUUCACAAGUAACAGAAAAUAAUUUUCCUGAAAAGGUGUUACUGUGUUUUUCAAAUGGAAAUCAUUAUGAUAUUGUGUAUCCCAUAAAGUAUAAAGAAAGCUCUGCUAUGUGUCAGUCUCUCCUUUAUGAAUUGCUGUAUGAGAAGGUAUUUAAAACUGAUGUUAGUAAAAUUGUGAUGGAACUAGACACGUUGGAAGUAGCUGAUGAAGAUAACAGUGAAAUAUCAGAUUCA
rnacentral:lncRNA from 1 species